rnacentral:lncRNA from 1 species
UUCGGUGCUCGACCGCAUCGCCGGCGCCCCGCACUUGGCUGUGCUGUCGUGGCCUGCCGCCUCCACGACCCCCUGGCACCUCCUCGUGCCCCUGCCGGCUCUGGCCGCUCUGCCUACGGCCCUCUUCCCCGUGAUCCAGCUCCUGAAGAAAAGUCAUGGGCCGGCUGGCAAACAAAAUUACCGAGAAAAGACCAAAACGUGCAACUGGCGAAAAAGAAAAGAGAAGGCCAUUUGCGCCCGCUCAGCAGCGUCACCGCUCGGUCGGCUGGCCCGCCCGCGUCACGGCCUGGCCAGUUCGCCGCCUACUUCGUCACCGGCCGUCCAGGUCGCCCAUCCGCUUCGACGUUCGGUCGUCGGACCCGACCGGCUAGCACAACCAUCGACCGCCAAAUGCCGGCCACACUCAGUGGGCGGGCUGGCGUGCUCCGCUCGUAGAAAGCCGCGCCAGCUGUCAUCAACAACAACAACCUUGUUUGCACAAAAAGCAAUGUGAGCUCCCGUUUGUGCAUCCUCGCACCACGCGUAAAAGCAAAUACCUCGAGCAAUGUUCGGGGGCCAUCACCGCAUUAAUUUCAGCUACUUUGCUGCUCAUCCGGCGCCGACUAGUCUCGGCCUGGGUGCUGGCCGUUUGGCCCGAUUUGUUCCUCCCCGCAGACGGAGCUAGUAGUGUCUACGGUACCAAAGGCCCACUCUUCGUCUCAGCUACAGACCGUAUCGCGACUGUCUGGCUAGCAAGAGCAAAAGCUGAAGGUCACCUCGCGAACAACGUCAGGGGAGAAAAUGGUUUGGACGAACCAGCCGUUCCCUUUGUGAAAUUUAUACCCGGUCGAGCCUGCUCCCGGAGUCAGAGUAUUGUGCACUCCCCUCUGCGGCCCACUCUUCGUCUCAGCUACAGAUCGUAUCAUGGCUAUCCGGCUAGCAAGAGAAAAAGCCAAAGAGCCGA